AGCCUUUAAAUUAAAAACCUCCAAGUCUUCAUUCAGAAAACGGCAUGUAAGUUUGUUCAUUUAAGUUGCAGGUGAUGGGACUUGUCAGAGAAAGUAACUGGUGGAACCAGAAUCAGUGUAGCCCGCCGCUGGCUGGGAAGAGAGGUGGAAGGACAAGGCCAAGAACAUACAGAUCCAUGAUAAGCCAGCACACGGCGCGGGGGAGCGGGGGCAGGGAGGGGCCCAGCCAUGUCUGCUGUGCUGUCUUUCUUCCUGUGCUCAGAUCUCUCCAUCUGCACCGAGUCCCAGCUGAAAGGACCCGCUCGUCUGCCUUCAAGAGACACUAUGGAGCCAAGAGCAAUGGAACCAUCAUCUUUUGCAGGAAAAGGAGUGGAUGCCCCCACGGCUGGCCGGAGGCGCCGCUGCCCGGGGCCUAUGGCUAACAGAGCUCCUGGGACCUCCGCCUCCAUCCCUCUGCCAGCCAGCCCACUGGCCUGUCACGGGAUGGCCUCGACGUAAUUCGCUGGGUACAGGCCAACCUGCCCGUUGUCCAAGCGCCCCUUGCACCAGCCCUGCUCAUCCUCGUCCUCUAUCUUGGUCAGCUCGUCCCCUGCAAGACAAGAAGGGAGUGGCCUUGGUGACCAGGGCCCAGAGGGCCACCCUCAAGUUUCAGCCCCCACCCUGGGCCCACAGAGUCUCCAAGGCUCAACUGCUUUUUCUCCCUCGGGCAAUUCUGACGUACGUCGCAACAUCUCCCUGACUCUCUGUCUUGUGCAGCAGCAGUACUGAUCCCGAUGCCUGCAGGGCCAACACCCGGGGCUGCCGCUGCUCCUGCGCCAGGAGACCUGGCGAAGGCCCUGCCCGAGUUCUUCAUCUGUGGGCCAGGGGCGCUGGGAAGACUAAGUGCCAUACACGAAAGGGCCCUGGUACACUGCCAGGCCGACAAUGACAACUGGCAUUUAUCGCAUCCAGCCCUCG
rnacentral:lncRNA from 1 species